rnacentral:rRNA from 1 species
UACGUAGGGUGCAAGCGUUGUCCGGAAUUAUUGGGCGUAAAGAGCUCGUAGGCGGUUUGUCGCGUCUGCUGUGAAAACCCGAGGCUCAACCUCGGGCCUGCAGUGGGUACGGGCAGACUAGAGUGCGGUAGGGGAGAUUGGAAUUCCUGGUGUAGCGGUGGAAUGCGCAGAUAUCAGGAGGAACACCAAUGGCGAAGGCAGUCAACUAUUCUGAUCCUGACAUUGAGGCAUGAAAGCGUGGGGAGCAAACCGG